GGCUGCUCCAGACUUCUUGGCUCCUGCAGGCCACCUGGACGGAUAUGUGCAGGUCACAGGGGUUACAAUGGCUAAGCUUCAGCUCAGAGGCCUG
rnacentral:lncRNA from 1 species